GACGAACGCUGGCGGCGUGCUUAACACAUGCAAGUCGAACGAAGUGGCGAACGGGUGAGUAAAGCGUAAUCAACCUGCCCUUCAGAGGGGGACAACAGUUGGGAACGACUGCUCAUACCGCAUACUGAAGGAGGGGAUUGCGUCUGAUUAGCUAGGUGGGGGGGUGACGGCACACCAAGGCUAUGAUCAGAAGCCGGUCUGAGAGGAUGAACUGCCACAUUGGGACUGAGACACGGCCCAGACUCCUUCGGGAGGCAGCAGUGGGGAAUCUUCCGCAAUGGACGAAAGUCUGACGGAGCAACGCCGCGUGAGUGAUGACGGCCUUCGGGUUGUAAAGCUCUGUUAAUCGGGACGCGGUACCGGAAUAGAAAGCCACGGCUAACUACGUGCCAGCAGCCGCGGUAAUAC
rnacentral:rRNA from 1 species